AUAGAAUGGCUUGGGUUGCAAGGGACCCCAGGGAUCAUCAAGUUCCAAUCCUCUGACAUAGGCAGGGCCACAACAUCCAGACCUGCUACUAGCCCAGGUUGCCCAAGGCCCCAUCCAACCUCGUCUUGAACACUUCCAGGGAUGGAUCACUUCAUUUAAAACAUCCAAAUCUUCUGAGUUUGGAUCCUCCAAUUGCAAAACUGGCAAAAGUGUGACUACAGCAUCCCUGUGGUAGAAUAAUCAUCCAGAGCACAAGAACAAGACAAAGACCUCAGACACAUCCUAACAAGAGAGAGUUGCUGCCUGGCCAUCAAUCUGCAGCCUGUUUUACAACUGAAGUCACACCUCCAGUCUCAUUGAAGUUAUUGCCACGUGCUUCAACAUGCCCAAAUGAAUUUCUCCAGCAUGACUCCGGGCUUUACCUGGAAUUAGUUUGAUGGAGCAAGGUGAGAUUUGCCACUACACUGCAUUUCACACAGGGAACAGAAACGCUGAGCAACAUCUGACCUCUAGUCCACUGAAGCCCGGUUUGGAACUGUGACUACAACAGCUGCUGGGAGGAAUUGAGUGCAUCCCAUUGCUCUCCCCCUCCCUGUCCUAUGCAAGCAGGCUGCCACCAGAUGAUGACAGCUCUUCAAAGUGCAGAUAGAAAAAAACAACAGCUUGGAACCGUGUUGCUGUUCAACAAAGUGAAGUGCUGAAUGUGCCCAGAAUCAGCAUCCAUCUAUGAGUAGGCUGGAAUUGAAGUGCAAGCCUGAUA